UGCAAAGUCGAGCGAGCGGGAAACUAACAGAUUUUACUUCGGGUAAUGACGUUAGGGAAAGCGAGCGCGGGAUGGGUGAGUACACGUGGGGGAAUCUGCCCCAUAGUCUGGGAUACCACUUGGAAACAGGUGCUAAUACGGGAUAAGAAAGCAGAUCGCAUGAUCAGCUUUUAAAAAGGCGGCGUAAGCUGUCGCUAUGGGAUGGCCCCGCGGUGCAUUAGCUAGUUGGUAAGGUAAAGGCUUACCAAGGCGAUGAUGCAUAGCCGAGUUGAGAGACUGAUCGGCCACAUUGGGACUGAGACACGGCCCAAACUCCUACGGGAGGCAGCAGUAGGGAAUCUUCCACAAUGGACGCAAGUCUGAUGGAGCAACGCCGCGUGAGUGAAGAAGGUUUUCGGAUCGUAAAGCUCUGUUGUUGGUGAAGAAGGAUAGAGGUAGUAACUGGCCUUUAUUUGACGGUAAUCAACCAGAAAGUCACGGGCUAACUACGUGCCAGCAGCCGCGGUAAAU
rnacentral:rRNA from 1 species